rnacentral:rRNA from 1 species
CACCGCCCGUCACGUCAUGGGAGUCGGUAGCACCUGAAGCCGCUACGCCAACCCGCGAGGGAGGCAGGCGUCGAGGGUGAGGCUGGCGACUGGGACG